rnacentral:lncRNA from 1 species
GUGAGGGCAAUCUCAGUGAGUUCAGGACAGCCAGGCUAUAUAGAGAGAACCUUCCUCAGACAAGCAAAACAAACCACCACCCUGGACUAGGCGUGUAGCUCAGUAGAGUGCUUGUUUAGAAGGUCCUGAGCUCUGUCCCCAGCACCACAGAAGCCAGGCCUGGUGGACAGACCUGUAAUCUGAACAUCAAGAAGUGAAGGCAGGGAGAACAGAAGUUGAGGUCAUUUGCCUAAGCUACGUGAGACCUUACUCAAAACAUAAACUGACAUGGUUCUUUUCCACCCUUGCUUGGCAUAUUCUUGGAGAACUUACACCAAAAGAAAAAAUUGUUAGACAUGUACCUUUUUAUGUACCCAGACAGCCAUUUUCACCAUCACGAUGGAAUCUAAGGAGACAGGUUUCUAUAAAGCACGAGGGAGCUACUCCUUGGAGGAGAACCUUCUGUAUAAAACUGAGACGUGGGGUUGGGGAUUUAGCUCAGUGGCAGAGCACUUGCCUAGCAAGUGCAAGGCCCUGGGUUCAGUCCCCAGCUCCGAAAAAAAGAAGGAAAAAAAAAACAAAAAA